rnacentral:rRNA from 1 species
AUGAACGCUGGCGGCGUGCCUAGUACAUGCAAGUCGAGCGAACGGACGAGAAGCUUGCUUCUCUGAUGUUAGCGGCGGACGGGUGAGUAACACGUGGAUAACCUACCUAUAAGACUGGGAUAACUUCGGGAAACCGGAGCUAAUACCGGAUAAUAUUUUGAACCGCAUGGUUCAAAAGUGAAAGACGGUCUUGCUGUCACUUAUAGAUGGAUCCGCGCUGCAUUAGCUAGUUGGUAAGGUAACGGCUUACCAAGGCAACGAUGCAUAGCCGAACUGAGAGGGUGAUCGGCCACACUGGAACUGAGACACGGUCCAGACUCCUACGGGAGGCAGCAGUAGGGAAUCUUCCGCAAAGGGCGAAAGCCUGACGGAGCAACGCCGCGUGAGUGAUGAAGGUCUUCGGAUCGUAAAACUCUGUUAUUAGGGAAGAACAUAUGUGUAAGUAACUGUGCACAUCUUGACGGUACCUAAUCAGAAAGCCACGGCUAACUACGUG